rnacentral:rRNA from 1 species
GACGAACGCUGGCGGUGUGCCUAAUACAUGCAAGUUGAGCGCUGAAGGUUGGUACUUGUACCAACUGGAUGAGCAGCGAACGGGUGAGUAACGCGUGGGGAAUCUGCCUUUGAGCGGGGGACAACAUUUGGAAACGAAUGCUAAUACCGCAUAAAAACUUUAAACACAAGUUUUAAGUUUGAAAGAUGCAAUUGCAUCACUCAAAGAUGACCCCGCGUUGUAUUAGCUAGUUGGUGAGGUAAAGGCUCACCAAGGCGAUGAUACAUAGCCGACCUGAGAGGGUGAUCGGCCACAUUGGGACUGAGACACGGCCCAAACUCCUACGGGAGGCAGCAGUAGGGAAUCUUCGGCAAUAGACGAAAGUCUGACCGAGCAACGCCGCGUGAGUGAAGAAGGUUGUCGGAUCGUAAAACUCUGUUGGUAGAGAAGAACGUUGGUGAGAGUGGAAAGCUCAUCAAGUGACGGUAACUACCCAGAAAGGGACGGCUAACUACGUG